AUGGCCCCCUCCGGCCUGCUGUGGGCCCUGGUGGCCUUCACCUGCUCUGGCUCCAGUGUGGCUCAAAUAGUUGUUCAACACCAGCCAGUUACAGCUGAGCAAGAGGGGUCAGCAGUUGCCCUGAAGUGUCAGUAUGGAAAAAGUUUCAGUUACUACACUGUUUACUGGUACAAGCAGCUUCCUGAUGGAAAGAUGAUGCUCCUUAUUUCUCAAUAUUCCUCUAACAACAAUGCAGUAGAGGGACGCUAUUCUAUAAACAUACAGAAAGCAAACAAAUCCAUCUAUCUCACCAUUAAAGCGUUACAACUGGAAGAUUCAGCAAAGUAUUUCUGUGCUCUCAGUGAUGCACUGUGUUUGAGGUGA